rnacentral:rRNA from 1 species
CCUACGGGGAGCAGCAGUGGGGAAUAUUGGACAAUGGGCGAAAGCCUGAUCCAGCCAUGCCGCGUGUGUGAAGAAGGCCUUCGGGUUGUAAAGCACUUUCAGUGGGGAAGAAAGCCUUGGGGCUAAUACCCUCGAGGAAGGACAUCACCCACAGCAGAAGCACCGGCUAACUCCGUGCCAGCAGCCGCGGUAAUACGGAGGGUGCGAGCGUUAAUCGGAAUUACUGGGCGUAAAGCGCGCGUAGGCGGUCUGAUAAGCCGGUUGUGAAAGCCCCGGGCUCAACCUGGGAACGGCAUCCGGAACUGUCAGGCUAGAGUGCAGGAGAGGAAGGUAGAAUUCCCGGUGUAGCGGUGAAAUGCGUAGAGAUCGGGAGGAAUACCAGUGGCGAAGGCGGCCUUCUGGACUGACACUGACGCUGAGGUGCGAAAGCGUGGGUAGCAAACAGGAUUAGAUACCCGAGUAGUC